UUGUGGGGAGACAGUCUUAAGCGGCAAGAGGCAAACGGGCCCAACCAGGACACAUAAAUCUGCAUCGCUGGUACCAGGAAAGAGCCUCAUCAGCGACUUAAACAGGACAUUAUCCAACUCAUUCCCAGACUCUUGCAAACCCUCCCAUAAUGAAAAGCUUCAAGUUGGUGCACUGAGCCAGACCCCUGUACCAGGAGAAGGACCACUGAACUGCAGUCUGCUGAAUUACGAUUUCAUCAGCUGACUUUGCCUGACUGUUUUCUUCAGGAGCUGAAUAUUCUGCCCAAUUAACUAUGUGUAAUUUUUUUUUGAAAAGCAGCCACACUAUGGAGAAAUUAAGUAAGAUCUAUUGCAGCUAACACAUUUAUACUAGAAUUCCCCAAUGUAUUCCUCAUCUACAGCAGAAAUAUAGGGUCAACCUAGAAUAGACUGCAAAAUAAAUAUUAUGUGAAAAAGCUGAUGAAGUAGAAGCAUGGAGUUACCAUGGAGUUGGUAGAGUCUACAGUGGAGAAUGACUUGCAGUAGGAGAGACCUCCACUACGAGCUACCACAGCACUCAUCCAAGUCUACACCAUCAAGGAGAUAUACCAAGCCUCACCCAUACGAUGGCAUUUAGCCCCAUGUCCUUUUGAGACCCCCCCCCCGGGGAAGCCUGGGUGUUUUGUCUGCCGGAUGCCUACAGAUUACAGAUACCCCACCACAGCUACUGUGGGACACCUUCUGCCAGCAGUGUUUGGAUUAUUAGAGAAUCUAGACCUUCCUCGUGCAAUUAGAGCAGCCCAUUAUCUCCCCCCAUAAACACCCCGACCACACUGUCAAUUUCAAAGACGGUUCGGUAAUCUACCGCGUUUAUACUUACAUGUGUAUAUAAAUGGACUGAGGCGGGUUCAACAUAUUCCCUCUGAGGGUUUCAUAUUUUUGUUGUAAUCUCCUCUCCGGAAAGGAAAUUAAAAAGACCACCAGAGGAGGGGAGAUAGCAACCACACUACAGAUCUGGCUUCCACCAUCAAUGUUUCUAGAAACUUCCUGUUAACCUGUUAUCUGAAGACCCUAUUAUUAAAGAUGGAAGAUACA